UAAAGAGUUUGAUCCUGGCUCAGGACGAACGCUGGCGGCGUGCCUAACACAUGCAAGUCGAACGGUCCGGCACACAACCGACCCUCAGUCUAACUGUAGGGGAAGUUAAGUGCUGGGUAGUGGCGGACGGGUGAGUAACGCGUGGGCAACUAACCCUGUACAGUGGGAUAACACCGGGAAACGGGUGCUAAUACCGCAUGAAA
rnacentral:rRNA from 1 species